rnacentral:piRNA from 1 species
UCUUCCAACGCCCCCCUCAUU